CAGAGUCAACGGAAGUAAAUCAGCAAUUAUUUUAAGGCGGUGUCGAAAUGGGUCUAUAGCUCUGCCUGAACUGUCGUCCAAUUGGUUUACAAGUCCGGCUGAAGUGACAGGCCAUCAAAAACUGUACAGUGUGACUGAUUCGGAGACGGCCCUCAACACUCGCCCAGUCGUGUCGAGAGGAUCGGUGUCUUUGCAGAUUACACGGAAUUGAGCACCCGGGCCAGACUGACACUUUCCGGAGCCUGCCCUAGACGGAACUCGAGCCGAGGAAUCAUAGGUCCAGGCGGUGUCGAAAUGGGUCUAUAGCUCUGCCUGAACUGUCGUCCAAUUGGUUUACAAGUCCGGCUGAAGUGACAGGCCAUCAAAAACUGUACAGUGUGACUGAUUCGGAGACGGCCCUCAACACUCGCCCAGUCGUGUCGAGAGGAUCGGUGUCUUUGCAGAUUACACGGAAUUGAGCACCCGGGCCAGACUGACACUUUCCGGAGCCUGCCCUAGACGGAACUCGAGCCGAGGAAUCAUAGGUCCAGGUGUGACAAAAGACUUAAAGCUCAUGUCUGACGAUGACUUUUUUUAGUCAGGAAGCCAAGUGUGUUGUUUUUCCAUGCAAGCGAGCCCUUUUGUUGGGUCAAAUGACAUCAGCAUUGCUGCUUCUACAUGGAUUUUACCUAAAAUGUGCAAAAAAAAUAUAAAAAGUUUGUUCGAAUCCAGUUCAAAACCUGCUUUGAUGCACAAAUA